AGAAAGACAAGAAGAGAGGCUCAGUGAGACAGACAGAUGGAGGAGAAGCAUGUAGCAGCAGAGAGGGGAGGAGGAGGAGAAACAAAGCGUGUUGACUGAGGAAGUGUGCGUGCCAUGCGGGCCAUGUGCUCAGUAAUAACACAAGCUCAAGCUCUUCACGAUGCACAUCUGUGAAAAGGCGGCAAAGACCUGCAAUCCAUGGCUCCUGUCCUGCUGGUGAGCCAACUGAUGCUGUCGCAGCUCACAGGAAGCUGGGAUCCCACUCACGUCAUCACAGAGGUUUGCUGAUUUUGCUUGGAUUGUCCCAGAUAAAUGACCGCGAGCCAUUCCCACAAGAGAUGGGGUCCAGAGUCUCCCCACCCAGACACGACUAAACCGGCCAGCCUUCACAGUUCACGCCUCUCUAGCUGCUGUCAGUUGCUCAGUAGGCAGUGUAGAUCCUGUGUAGCAAUCAGCAGCUACAUCUGGCUACUGGGUCUCUGACAGUUCUGCCUACUUCCCAGUCAAGCUUGCUCGUUCCUCUUCCUAUUGGCUAAGUGACACAUUCCAGUCCCCGCAUUGGCUGCGAUGUCAGGGGGGCUCCAUCCUGUGACCCCACAGACAGGAUGUUCUCUGUGUCACAACUCCACAAGGGCCCCUUGUCAAGGCUUUUUUGUGUUGGUUUUUUUUCUUCACUCCUUCCUCCUCUGUCAUUCUUCUUUAAAUUCUCACUCAUUUCGCCUUCUCUCCUUGGCCUCUGCAAGAUUUUCUUAAUAUGAAAUGUCCUUGGUUGUAAAUAUUAAAGUUCCGUGAGAGAAAUUUAAAGGAGCGUAUUUUUCCAAAGGAAAAGCAGCAACGUGUAUUUGAAAAGCCCUCGGAGAGACCUUUGCUUUCGUCCUGAACCUGGCAUACAAUGUAGAUUUCUGUGUGGUUCAAUUCUACAGCUACAUUGUCUGCUGGGUUUCUGGCAAGCAAUAUAAGCAGCUCUUAUAUAAUCCCUCGGGCGCUCGAAAAGGUAAGCAUUCAUCUGUUCUGUCAAUGUGGCUCAAAUGCCUGACCCUGACAAUUCAAUAAAGAGAAAAUAUUUCACAUUAAUACUGCUGAGUGACUGUCGUUUGUCAAGCUGAAAAUCACAUUUGAAGAAAGAAAGAAAUCUCCAAAUCUACUAAAUCUAAAUUGAUUCAGUGUUGCUUUUGUGUCCCAGGAGUUAACCCCAAGCAAGAGAUGCCAGGAAUAUUCUAGUAACUCAGCACAAAGCUGGGCUGUUGUCUGUCAGGAGCUUGUCAGGCUGCUGUCAGACCGGCUCCUUAUUAAUGGGGCAGCACUGUCUCCCCUGCAGCCAACACACACACACAGUACAAAAAAAGCACACACCCGCACACACACCUGGGAUUAUACCAAACCUUCACACAGUGCUUUCAGAAGACAUCCCUACCUGUGAAAGUCUGCAAACCCCAAAAGCAACUUCUACAUCCCAAAGUAUGUUUUUACUUCACAAACGAUUUUAA